AGUGGAAUUUCUGGGUCAUAUGGUCACUUUAUUUUUAACUUUUUGAGGAACUGCCAAACUAUUUUACAAAAUGGUUGUACCAUUUUAUAUUCCCACCAGCAAU
rnacentral:pre_miRNA from 1 species